rnacentral:rRNA from 1 species
UACGUAGGUGGCAAGCGUUGUCCGGAAUUAUUGGGCGUAAAGCGCGCGCAGGCGGUCCUUUAAGUCUGAUGUGAAAGCCCACGGCUCAACCGUGGAGGGUCAUUGGAAACUGGGGGACUUGAGUACAGAAGAGGAAAGCGGAAUUCCACGUGUAGCGGUGAAAUGCGUAGAGAUGUGGAGGAACACCAGUGGCGAAGGCGGCUUUCUGGUCUGUAACUGACGUGAGGCGCGAAAGC